rnacentral:rRNA from 1 species
AUUGAACGCUGGCGGCAGGCCUAACACAUGCAAGUCGAGCGGAUGAAGGGAGCUUGCUCCUGGAUUCAGCGGCGGACGGGUGAGUAAUGCCUAGGAAUCUGCCUGGUAGUGGGGGAUAACGUCCGGAAACGGGCGCUAAUACCGCAUACGUCCUGAGGGAGAAAGUGGGGGAUCUUCGGACCUCACGCUAUCAGAUGAGCCUAGGUCGGAUUAGCUAGUUGGUGGGGUAAAGGCCUACCAAGGCGACGAUCCGUAACUGGUCUGAGAGGAUGAUCAGUCAAGGUGGAACGAAGACACGAUCGUGAGGGGAAGCGUGAGCAGAAGUGGGGAAAGUUGUGCAAUAGGCCGAGGCAUGAUCGAGCCGUACAGGGUGUGUGAAGAAGGUGUUCGGAGUGUGAAGCUGUUUAUGUUGUGAGGAAAGAAAAAAAGUAAAGAUCUCGCCGGUUGAGCGGCACCAGAAGAAGAGGCGCCGGCGAGCAUGGUG